ACAGACAGGACGUUCCUUGGAGCGAGCUAAGUGCCCAGAGCGGGAAAGCCCAGUGGCCAGCAUUCCAGUGGCAUCAUAGCGGGAGAGCAGGAAGCAUGCUGCUGCUUUGCAGGCUGCUGGCCUCUCCGUCAUCUUUUCCAAGCCCGCUAACAGCCAAGGACUUCAAGGACAUCAACAAAGAUAAGAUGUCAGCACACAGACGAAGCAGAGACUUCAAGGACCUCAACGAAGAUAAGAUGACAACACGCAGACGAAGCGGGGUCAAGGCGAUAUCACAAGGCCCUCGGCCCAUUCCAUCACGUACUGUGCGUCCUGGGCCUGCUUUGCAUAAUAUAUGUGACCACUCCAUUUAGAGGCGGCCACAGUGAUGUUGACUAUGGAACUCUGAAUAAAAAGAGGGAAGCGUGAGCUGAACCUUAGAGCGUAGGGCAAGACUGUGACUAAGUGUGCAGCGCCAUGCGUUCUCCUCAUGAGCUAAA